UGGGUGUGAAAGAGAAGAGAGAGAGGAGGGGAGGCAUGGAGAAGGGAGAGAGAGAGGUUUGUUUUACAAAAACUUCUAUAUCAUAGAAAUCUUAGAGAUAUUCUCUUUAUAUAGGCACUAUCCUGACUCAAAAGAGGAAUCCAAUUAUCUUAAAAAGGUAUAUUCUUAUCUCAUAAGAAUUUUCUAUCUUUUUAAUUUGAUUUAUUCUCAAUAAAACUAGAUAUAAUUGGUAAAUAAUUAGUCCC
rnacentral:lncRNA from 1 species